rnacentral:tRNA from 1 species
GGAUUGUGGCUCAGUGGCAGAGCACUUGCCUCACACACGUGAGGCACUGGGUUUGAUCCUCAGCACCA